AUGAAAGGCAUAUUCUGGAAUAGCAGAGGUCUGAGGGACUUGGCUAAACACAGAUUUCUAGCAGAUGCAUCUAGCGAGCACAAGAUUGAUUUUGUUGCGUUGCUAGAGACAGGGCGUCACAAUUUCACUUCACAAUUUUUGGGGACGAUAUCAGGUGGGCUGGACUUCGACUGGCAUUGCCUGCCACCUCGGGGAAGAUCUGGAGGGAUCCUCCUUGGAGUAAAUUGCGAGACUCUUGAGGUGAUAAAUGUUUUCAUGGGAGAAUUUGCUGUUAAAUUCCACGUCCGGUCUAAGGUUGACGGGUUCAGAUGGGCUCUUGUGGCUGUGUAUGGUGUGGCACAGCCAGAGCUCAAACCAGAUUUGCUUAUCGAUCUAGCUAGAAUUUGUGGAGGCGAGACUCUACCGAUUCUGGUAGGCGAGGACUUUAACAUGAUUAGAAGACAAGAGGAGAAAAAUAAUGAUAAUUUUGAUGCCCGAUGGUCCUUUAUGUUUAAUGCGAUCAUUGAAAGCUUGGACCUACGUGAGAUUGAGCUCACUGGUAGACAAUUCACUUGGGCAAAUAAUCUUCCAUCUUCUACUUAUGAAAAGCUUGAUCGGGUUCUUAUGAGCACUGAAUGGGAACAAAAAAUUCCUCUAGUUUCUGUGAUGGCGAUGCCUAGAGGGGUUUCUGAUCAUACGCCACUUCUUGUGGAUUCAGGUGAGGCAGUUCACUUGGGUAACAAGAGUGUUUUCUCUUUCGAAACUGCAUGGUUCGAGAGAGAGGACUUCCUUCAAUUGGUUGAAAGGGAGUGGGCGGUAGAGCAACGGGGCACAUCUAAUAUAGAGAUAUGGCAAUACAAAAUUAGACACCUUAGACAGUUCUUGAGAGGCUGGGCUAAGAAUAUUAGUGGAGCUUAUAGACUUGAGAAGGAAAGACUACUCAAGUUGAUAGAUGAUCUAGACAUUAAGGCAGAAAGUAUGAAUCUAGACAUCAAUGAUCGGGUUGCUAAGAGAGAAGCUGAGGUCAGUCUGACGAAGCUUCUUAGAGAGGAAGAAAUGAAGUGGGCGCUUAGAGCAAAAGUGCGGCGCAUUGUACAAGGGGAUAACAACACACAAUUUUUCCAUAUGAUUGCAAAUGGAAAACAUAGGAAAAAGAAAAUAAUCCAGCUUGAACAGGAUGAGGGUACGAUUGUAGGUCAUGAGAACCUAAAGUUGUACAUCACUAACUAUUAUAAACAAUUGUUUGGGGAUCCAGUUGAGAAUUUUGUCAGCCUGGAUGAGGCAAGAGUAGAUGACAUCCCUCAACUUCGGAAUGACGAGAAUGAGAUCCUCACCGCUCCUUUUUGUGAGAAGGAGGUAUAUGAGGCGAUUGCUCAAAUGAAAAACAAUAAAGCACCUGGUCCGGAUGGUUUUCCAGCUGAAUUCUAUAAGAAGUGUUGGGGUAUCAUUAAAGGAGAUUUGAUGCCUAUGUUUCAUGAUCUCUUUAAUGGGCACUUACAACUUUUCAAAUUAAAUUUUGGAACUAUCACUUUAUUGCCAAAGAAGGAGGAAGCAAUCCGCAUUGAGCAAUUUAGACCGAUAUGUCUACUCAAUGUGAGUUUGAAAAUUUUCACGAAAGUUGGCACAAACCGUCUUACACAGAUUGCGCAUACGGUGGUUCAGCCAACGCAGACUGCUUUCAUGCCAGGGCGACAUAUCCUAGAAGGGGUGGUUGUCCUACAUGAGACCCUUCAUGAAAUCCACUCGAAGAAACUCGAUGGAGUGAUUUUCAAGGUGGAUUUCGAAAAGGCUUAUGAUAAAGUCAAAUGGCCUUUUCUGCAACAGGCCUUGCGCAUGAAAGGAUUUGAUGAAGCCUGGAGAAAGCAGGUUGAAUCGUUUGUGCAGGGAGGCAGCGUUGGUAUUAAAGUGAAUGAUGAUAUUGGUCAUUACUUUCAGACGCUUAAGGGAUUAAGACAAGGUGAUCCCAUGUCUCCAAUUAUGUUCAAUGUUGUUGUCGACAUGUUGACCGUUCUUGUUAAUAGGGCGAAACAAGAAGGCCAAGUAGGAGGUCUAAUCCCACAUUUGGUGGAUGGUGGGGUUUCCAUCCUACAGUAUGCGGAUGACACAAUUAUUUUUACGGAACAUGACAUUGCGAAAGCAAGGAACAUGAAGUUAGUGCUUUGCUUGUUCGAACAACUAUCCGGACAUAAGAUUAAUUUUAAUAAGAGCGAAUUGUUCUGCUUUGGACGCGCCAAGGAGGAACAAGAAAGCUAUAAACAGUUGUUCGGAUGUGAAUUAGGUGCGCUUCCCUUUACGUAUCUAGGGAUACCAAUUCACCAUCGCAAACUAACUAACAAAGAAUGGAAGUGUAUUGAGGAUCGGUUUGAGAAGAAACUAAGUUGCUGGAAAGGCAAACUUUUAUCUUAUGGAGGAAGAUUAAUUCUUAUUAACUCGGUUCUCACUAGCAUGCCGAUGUUCCUCCUUUCUUUCUUUGAAGUACCAAUAGGAGUACGGAAAAGAUUAGACUUUUACCGAUCCAGAUUCUUUUGGCAAAUGGAUGAGAACAAGGCUAAAUAUAGGCUUGCCAGGUGGGAUAUAAUUUGUAGACCGAAGGACCAAGGUGGCUUGGGUGUUGAGAAUUUAGAGGUAAAAAACAGAUGCUUGCUGAGCAAAUGGUUAUAUCGUAUUUCAGUAGAGACAGAGGGUAUGUGGCUGCAGUUAUUGCAUAACAAAUACUUAUAUGCGAAGUAUUUGGCUCACGUAAUGGCAUAA
rnacentral:rRNA from 1 species